rnacentral:rRNA from 1 species
UACGAGGGGUGCGAGCGUUGCUCGGAAUUAUUGGGCGUAAAGGGUAGGUAGGUGGUUUCGUUUGUCUGGGGUGAAAGCCUUGAGCUUAACUCAAGAAGUGCCCCGGAAACGGCGAAACUCGAGUACUGGAGAGGGUCGUGGAAUUCCACGUGUAGCAGUGAAAUGCGUAGAGAUGUGGAGGAACACCGAUGGCGAAGGCAGCCCCCUGGGUCAAGAUUGACGCUCAUGCACGAAAGCGUGGGGAGCAAACAGG